rnacentral:tRNA from 1 species
GUCUGGGUGGCUCAGUCGGUUGAGCAUCUGAUUUCGACUCAGGUCACGAUCUUGCAAUUCGUGGGUUCAGGUCCCACGUAGGGCU